rnacentral:rRNA from 1 species
UAAUACCCCGUAGUACUGAUUGAAGGCAUCUUGUGAUCAGUUAAAGAUUUAUCGGUAGAGGAUGGCUAUGCGUCCUAUUAGCUUGUAGGUGAGGUAACGGCUCACCUAGGCAACGAUAGGUAGGGGCCCUGAGAGGGGGAUCCCCCACACUGGUACUGAGACACGGACCAGACUCCUACGGGAGGCAGCAGUGAGGAAUAUUGGACAAUGGUCGAGAGACUGAUCCAGCCAUGCCGCGUGCAGGAAACGGCCCUACGGGUUGUAAACUGCUUUUGUACGGGAAGAGUAAUGCCCACGUGUGGGCAGAUGACGGUACCGUACGAAUAAGGACCGGCUAACUCCGUGCCAGCAGCCGCGGUAAUACGGAGGGUCCGAGCGUUAUCCGGAAUCAUUGGGUUUAAAGGGUCCGCAGGCGGGUCAGUAAGUCAGAGGUGAAAGUUUGCGGCUCAACCGUAAAAUUGCCUUUGAUACUGCUGGUCUUGAGUUACAGUGAAGUGGCCGGAAUAUGUGGUGUAGCGGUGAAAUGCAUAGAGAUCACAUAGAACACCGAUUGCGAAGGCAGGUCACUAACUGUAUACUGACGCUGAUGGACGAAAGCGUGGGGAGCGAACGGGAUUAGAUACCCCGGUAGUCCACGCCGUAAACGAUGGACACUAGCUGUCGGGAUGUAAGUUUCGGCGGCCAAGCGAAAGUGAUAAGUGUCCCACCUGGGGAGUACGUCGGCAACGAUGAAACUCAAAUGAAUUGACGGGGGCCCGCACAAGCGGUGGAGCAUGUGGUUUAAUUCGAUGCAACGCGAA